CGUAGUUUGAUCAGUCGGCUACAGAACGACGCUGGCGGCAUGCCUAACACAUGCAAGUCGAACGAGACCUUCGGGUCUAGUGGCGCACGGGUGCGUAACGCGUGGGAACCUGCCUUUAGGUUCGGAAUAACUCAGAGAAAUUUGAGCUAAUACCGGAUAAUGUCUUCGGACCAAAGAUUUAUCGCCUUUAGAUGGGCCCGCGUUGGAUUAGCUAGUUGGUGGGUAAAGGCCUACCAAGGCGACGAUCCAUAGCUGGUCUGAGAGGAUGAUCAGCCACACUGGGACUGAGACACGGCCCAGACUCCUACGGGAGGCAGCAGUGGGGAAUAUUGGACAAUGGGCGAAAGCCUGAUCCAGCAAUGCCGCGUGAGUGAUGAAGGCCUUAGGGUUGUAAAGCUCUUUUACCCGAGAUGAUAAUGACAGUAUCGGGAGAAUAAGCUCCGGCUAACUCCGUG
rnacentral:rRNA from 1 species